rnacentral:rRNA from 1 species
GCAUAUCAAUAAGCGGAGGAAAAAGAAACCAACAGGGAUUACCUCAGUAACGGCGAAGUGAAGCGGUAACAGCUCAAAUUUGAAAGCUAGCUCUUUUAGGGUUCGCAUUGUAAUUUGUAGAAGAUGCUUCGGGUGUGGCCCCGGUCUAAGUUCCUUGGAACAGGACGUCAUAGAGGGUGAGAAUCCCGUAUGUGACUGGGUGCUUUCGCUCAUGUGAAGCUCUUUCGACGAGUCGAGUUGUUUGGGAAUGCAGCUCAAAAUGGGUGGUAAAUUUCAUCUAAAGCUAAAUAUUGGCCAGAGACCGAUAGCGCACAAGUAGAGUGAUCGAAAGAUGAAAAGCACUUUGGAAAGAGAGUUAAACAGUACGUGAAAUUGUUGAAAGGGAAGCGCUUGCAACCAGACUUGCGCGCUGAUGAUCAUCCGGGCUUCUGUCCGGUGCACUCGUCUGCGCUCAGGCCAGCAUCGGUUUCGGUGGUGGGAUAAAGGCCUUGGGAAUGUAGCUCCUCUCGGGGAGUGUUAUAGCCCUCGGUGCAAUGCCGCCUAUCGGGACCGAGGACCGCGCUUCGGCUAGGAUGCUGGCGUAAUGGUUGUAAGCGACCCGUCUUGAAACACGGACCAAGGAGUCUAACAUCUAUGCGAGUGUUUGGGUGUCAAACCCAUACGCGUAAUGAAAGUGAACGGAGGUGAGAACCCUUAAGGGUGCAUCAUCGACCGGUCCUGAUGUCUUCGGAUGGAUCUGAGUAAGAGCAUAGCUGUUGGGACCCGAAAGAUGGUGAACUAUGCGUGAAUAGGGUGAAGCCAGAGGAAACUCUGGUGGAGGCUCGCAGCGGUUCUGACGUGCAAAUCGAUCGUCAAAUUUGCGUAUAGGGGCGAAAGACUAAUCGAACCAUCUAGUAGCUGGUUCCUGCCG